GCCCACGUAGCUCAGUUGGUAGAGCACGUCCUUGGUAAGGACGAGGUCAUCGGUUCAAACCCGAUCGUGGGCUCCA
rnacentral:tRNA from 1 species